GCAAGCCCCUUGGGCCAAAUAUUGACGCUCAUGCACGAAAGCGUGGGAGCAACCAGGAUUAGAUACCUUGGUAGUCCACGCCCUUAAACGAUGUCAACUUAGUUGUUGGGGAUUCAUUUCUUUAGUAACGUAGCUAACGCGUGAAGUUGACCGCNUGGGGAGUACGGUCGCAAGAUUAAAACUCAAAGGAAUUGACGGGGACCCGCACAAGCGGUGGAUGAUGUGGAUUAAUUCGAUGCAACGCGAAAAACCUUACCUACCCUUGACAUGGUCGGAAUCCUGCUGAGAGGUGGGAGUGCUCGAAAGAGAACCGGCGCACAGGUGCUGCAUGGCUGUCGUCAGCUCGUGUCGUGAGAUGUUGGGUUAAGUCCCGCAACGAGCGCAACCCUUGUCCUUAGUUGCUACGCAAGAGCACUCUAAGGAGACUGCCGGUGACAAACCGGAGGAAGGUGGGGAUGACGUCAAGUCCUCAUGGCCCUUAUGGGUAGGGCUUCACACGUCAUACAAUGGUCGGAACAGAGGGUUGCCAACCCGCGAGGGGGAGCUAAUCCCAGAAAACCGAUCGUAGUCCGGAUUGCACUCUGCAACUCGAGUGCAUGAAGCUGGAAUCGCUA
rnacentral:rRNA from 1 species